UGAGUUUGAUCCUGGUUCAGGACGAACGCUGGCGGCGUGCCUAAUACAUGCAAGUCGAGCGAGCUUGCCUAGAUGAUUUUAGUGCUUGCACUAAAUGAAACUAGAUACAAGCGAGCGGCGGACGGGUGAGUAACACGUGGGUAACCUGCCCAAGAGACUGGGAUAACACCUGGAAACAGAUGCUAAUACCGGAUAACAACACUAGACGCAUGUCUAGAGUCUGAAAGAUGGUUCUGCUAUCACUCUUGGAUGGACCUGCGGUGCAUUAGCUAGUUGGUAAGGUAACGGCUUACCAAGGCAAUGAUGCAUAGCCGAGUUGAGAGACUGAUCGGCCACAUUGGGACUGAGACACGGCCCAAACUCCUACGGGAGGCAGCAGUAGGGAAUCUUCCACAAUGGACGAAAGUCUGAUGGAGCAACGCCGCGUGAGUGGAGAAGGGUUUCGGCUCGUAAAGCUCUGUUGGUAGUGAAGAAAGAUAGAGGUAGUAACUGGCCUUUAUUUGACGGUAAUUACUUAGAAAGUCACGGCUAACUACGUGCCAGCAGCCGCGGUAAUACGUAGGUGGCAAGCGUUGUCCGGAUUUAUUGGGCGUAAAGCGAGUGCAGGCGGUUCAAUAAGUCUGAUGUGAAAGCCUUCGGCUCAACCGGAGAAUUGCAUCAGAAACUGUUGAACUUGAGUGCAGAAGAGGAGAGUGGAACUCCAUGUGUAGCGGUGGAAUGCGUAGAUAUAUGGAAGAACACCAGUGGCGAAGGCGGCUCUCUGGUCUGCAACUGACGCUGAGGCUCGAAAGCAUGGGUAGCGAACAGGAUUAGAUACCCUGGUAGUCCAUGCCGUAAACGAUGAGUGCUAAGUGUUGGGAGGUUUCCGCCUCUCAGCGCUGCAGCUAACGCAUUAAGCACUCCGCCUGGGGAGUACGACCGCAAGGUUGAAACUCAAAGGAAUUGACGGGGGCCCGCACAAGCGGUGGAGCAUGUGGUUUAAUUCGAAGCAACGCGAAGAACCUUACCAGGUCUUGACAUCCAGUGCAAACCUAAGAGAUUAGGUGUUCCCUUCGGGGACGCUGAGACAGGUGGUGCAUGGCUGUCGUCAGCUCGUGUCGUGAGAUGUUGGGUUAAGUCCCGCAACGAGCGCAACCC
rnacentral:rRNA from 1 species